ACGCUAUUGGAGGGCAAGUCUGGUGCCAGCAGCCGCGGUAAUUCCAGCUCCAAUAGCGUAUAUUAAAGUUGUUGCAGUUAAAAAGCUCGUAGUUGGAUUUCUGUUAAUAAUUUAUAUAUAAUAUUUUGAAAAUAUUUAUAUAAUAUUAACAUAAUUCAUAUUACUAUAUAUUUUUAGUAUAUGAAAUUUUACUUUGAGAAAAUUAGAGUGCUUAAAGCAGGCAUAUGCCUUGAAUACUCCAGCAUGGAAUAAUAUUAAAGAUUUUUAUCUUUCUUAUUGGUUCUAAGAUAAGAAUAAUGAUUAAUAGGGACAGUUGGGGGCAUUUGUAUUUAACAGUCAGAGGUGAAAUUCUUAGAUUUGUUAAAGACAAACUAGUGCGAAAGCAUUUGCCAAGGAUGUUUUCAUUAAUCAAGAACGAAAGUUAGGGGAUCGAAGACGAUCAGAUACCGUCGUAGUCUUAACCAUAAACUAUGCCAACUAGAGAUUGGAGGUUGUUCCUUACUCCUUC
rnacentral:rRNA from 1 species